rnacentral:lncRNA from 1 species
AGAUCUCUGUACCUCCUGGGCUUCAACACUGCCCCUAGGAGUCUCCCUAGGCUGCCUGGGUCUGAAAGGGACCUGGCCACUUAGGGGGAUCAGUGAAUCAGUUAAGUAAUGCAGGGGGCCACAAAGGAAGCCCACUGGGUCAUGUGCUUGACGGGGAGGGCUGCAGACAAGCCUGGCCCUCUGGCUGCAGCAUGGAAGUGUGGCCCUGCUUCAGGCCCUAAUGGGCCCGGGAAGGUCAGGAGCUGCCGUCUUUGGAGUGCUUGCAUCGAGAUCAGCGACAGCUAUCCUGGGCCUCCUGGCCACCAUCAAUAUGGAGAGCACUGUGAGGAGAUAGGUCAUCAGCUCUGGCUAUCCUGAGACUUGAAACAACUUCUCAAGCUCCAUCCUUAAGUCCCUUCUCCUGCCUCAUGGCUUCAGUCCCGUUUUCAGGCAGCUUGAGAUUGCCUGUGUCAGGAAGUGUAAACAAGGUAUUGGAGUCUG